rnacentral:rRNA from 1 species
GAAUAACACGUAAGUAACCUGUCUCAAAGUGGGGAAUAAUCCGCCGAAAGGUGGACUAAUACCGCAUGUGGUAGUGGGGGUAGGUUUCCAUUACUAAAGCUCACGGGCGCUUGUGAGGGGCUUGCGUCCUAUCAGGUAGUUGGUGGGGUAACGGCUCACCAAGCCGACGACGGGUAGCUGGUCUGAGAGGAUGUCCAGCCAGACGGGGACUGAGACACGGCCCCGACUCCUACGGGAGGCAGCAGCAAGGAAUUUUGCACAAUGGGCGAAAGCCUGACGCAGCAACACCGCGUGAGGGAAGAAGGCCUUCGGGUUGUAAACCUCUUUUGUCAGGGAAGAAUAAUGACGGUACCUGGCGAAUAAGUCACGGCUAACUACGUGCCAGCAGCUGCGGUAAUACGUAGGUGGCAAGCGUUAUCCGGAUUCACUGGGCGUAAAGAGCGCGUAGGUGGUCUUUCAAGUCAGAUGUUAAAUUUCUCGGCUCAACUGGGAACAGUCAUCUGAUACUGUUGGACUUGAGGGUGGUAGAAGGAGGUGGAAUUCCCGGUGUAGUGGUGAAAUGCGUAGAUAUCGGGAGGAACACCAGUGGCGAAAGCGGCCUCCUAGGCCAUUCCUGACACUGAGGCGCGAAAGCGUGGGGAGCGAACAGGAUCAGAUACCCUGGUAGUCCACGCCCUAAACUGUGGAAACUAGGUACAGGGAGUAUCGACCCUUCCUGCGCCGUAGCUAACGCGUUAAGUUUCCCGCCUGGGGACUACGGUCGCAAGACUAAAACUCAAAGGAAUUGACGGGGGCCCGCACAAGCAGCGGAGCGUGUGGUUUAAUUCGAUGCACACGAAGAACCUUACCAAGGCUUGACAUGCUGGAAGUAGUGAAACGAAAGUCUAACCAACUGUUAAAUCAGUAGCCUGCACAGGUGCUGCAUGGCUGUCGUCAGCUCGUGCCGUGAGGUGUUGGGUUAAGUCCCCCAACGAGCGUAACCCUCGUUGCCAGUUAUUUUCUCUGGCGAGACUGCCCCGCAAAACGGGGAGGAAGGUGGGGAUGACGUCAAGUCAGCACGGCCCUUAUGCCUUGGGCUACACACACGCUACAAUGGACGGUACAAUGGGAAGCAAGGGAGCGAUUCGGAGCUAAUCCAAAAAGCCGUUCUCAGUUCGGAUUGCAGGCU